rnacentral:rRNA from 1 species
AACGAACGCUGGCGGCAUGCCUAACACAUGCAAGUCGAACGCCCCGCAAGGGGAGUGGCGAACGGGUGAGUAACGCGUGGGAACCUACCCAGCAGUUGGGGAUAACCGCGGGAAACUGCGGCUAAUACCGAAUACGUCCUAAGGGAGAAAGAUUUAUCGCUGUUGGAGGGGCCCGCGUCGGAUUAGCUAGUUGGUGAGGUAACGGCUCACCAAGGCGACGAUCCGUAGCUGGUCUGAGAGGAUGAUCAGCCACACUGGGACUUAGACACGGCCCAGACUCCUACGGGAGGCAGCAGUGGGGAAUAUUGGACAAUGGGGGCAACCCUGAUCCAGCAAUGCCGCGUGAGUGAUGAAGGCCUUAGGGUUGUAAAGCUCUUUUACCGGGGACGAUGAUGACGGUACCCGGAGAAUAAGCCCCGGCUAACUUCGUGCCAGCAGCCGCCGCUGUAA